rnacentral:sRNA from 1 species
GAAGUCAGAGGAUAACGCGUGGGAAUUGGCUUUCUCCGUCCACCAUGUGGGUUCUUGUGAUCCAACUCAAGUCAUCAGGCAAGCACUUUUACCUGCUGAACUGCCUCGCCAACUCUGCCCGGCACCUCUUAAGACAGAGGCCAUAGCAGAAGAGCAACAUCUGAGACAGCCACCUGAGUUAUGGUCUCGGAUAACUUGGAUCGGGUGACAAAGAAGGAGGUAUAUCUGAGGCUUCCAAGACUGGGCCAAGUGGAAUUAGGUGAAAGACAACUUGAUGAGAAAACCACAUUGCCCAUUGAGAGAGAUACAGCAUGGACACUGUGAAUGACAGCUAUUAACCAAAGCAAGGAACAAGGAAUGGUAAGGACCACCUCUGUUCUAAUCCUGACACCAUCAUGUCAUAUUCAACUGACCUUAGUUUCCUCUCUCUAGAUCACAUUUCAAAUACCAUGCUCUAUGGGAGAGGAGGGGUGGAAUGGAGGAGAGGCAACGAAGAUGCGAAGACAAGAGGUGUCUGUGGAUGAGAAGACUGUGUUUCUAAGGUCAGAAGCCAUGGUAUAGACACGAUGCCCCGAGAGCAGUUGUGGCCAGGUGAGGAAACGGAAGAAUGCACAAGUAGGUCAUGAGUCCCCCAAGUAGAAGCGGAGGAGGUUUGGCAGCUGGCUCAUGGUGCUGGUUACAGGGGAAGGGGUGGCCAUUGCAAUAUUAAAUCAUGGUAUAUGAGUGCAUUGUAUAGAUGAGCCAAGGACAUGAUGUCCGGGCAGUAUUUAAGAAAUUAAUGCCAUAUGUCAGUCAUAGAUCUUGCCAAUCUUUUAUCUGCCUUUCUUUCCACUACUAGCCUUAGAUAGAAGAGAAAUAAAAAGGAAACUGAGUAUUUCUACAGUUCAGCCUACACUCCUGCCCAUCUUAUACAUACAUCAUUCUUUCUUCUAUUAUCUUUCUUUUUUUUGUUGUUUUUGACAGGCUUUUGCUAUGUACUCCAGGCUGCACUCAAACCUGUGGCAAUCCUCUCGGGAUUUACAGCAGUGUGCCAGCAGGUUUCCUUCCUAAUUAAGGUUGUUUGUUUCAAUUUUAAGUCCCUCUUAUCUGUCUUUGUCUCUUCUCUUCUCUUCUCUCCCCUCCCCGCCCUCCUGUCUUUGUUACCUAGGAUGAUUUUGACUUUCUGAACUCAGGUUGAUCCUCCUGCAUCAGCGUUCCCAGUAGCUAGGAUUGCAGGCUUAGGCCACUGUGCUCAGCUUCUUUUCCAUAUCUUCCUUCCUUUUUCCUCCUUCUUUCCAGUCUUAGAUUAUAGAGACCACAAUUAACUAUUUAAAUACAGUGUCGAUCCAUUUCUCAUUUCAAUUGCAUCUUCAUAAUAGUAAUUACAAUGGUCUAGCUUGACUAAUGGAUUUUAUGUGUUUAUGAAGAAACACAUUCAAGGAUAUUUAAAGCAAUGCAUUUCUGGGUAUGGACUUUAAGACAACUUAGGAGUUUGCAUGAGAAAGAUGGGGAAGAAGCUAUGGGGUUCUUCGGGGCUACCAUCAGUGUGCUGACCUGUACAGACUGACCACCCAACAAGGAUCCUUUGAAGCACAUGAGUCAGUAAGGACAUGAAAUAAACACACUGGGGAAGUCUAAGGUUUACAAGGAGGUAAGCUAAUGAUAAAAUGACUCAACUCAAGUAUUAAAGUGAAUAUGCGUUUUAGGGGAAAGUAAAUGUGCUAAAGGAAGGGGGAAAGAACAAAGGGACAGAACGCUAAUGUGUUUGCAAGUAUCAGCAACGAUGAUACCCCAUAAAUGCAAUGGUCAUGGCUCUCUGUCCUUGAGGUCCUGACAAGCAGAUACAUAGGUAGCAGAAGCAGGGGCUUGUUCAAGUAUUUGUGACUGGCCUGGUAUGAGUGAAGUGUUAUUUCCAUAGAAACACGGGCUCUCAAUGUUUCCUAAACAGGACUAUUUGAUGUGGGUCAGUACACACUCUCUAUUGAGUGACAGGCUUCCUGGGAAAUAGUUGUGAAUGUGGCCGUGCUCGUUCAUGCUGGAGGGCUGACCGCUGAGACUCAAGGAGUGGCCGUCAUUCAGAAAGACAUCAAAUACUUCAAAGACUUUUUUUUAAAGCAUUCUUUGGGGGAAUAACUUUAAAUCUGUACCGUUAUAGUAUUCAGAACUCUUCUUGUCUACAGUGGCCUUUGCUUCUCCUGGAAGGGGCUAAGUCAUCAUUUUACGUGUUUCAAGAUGAGAAGUCUGCAACUCAAGGCAGUUCAGGGUCCCAGGGCCACAGAAGUGAGCAGCCCUGGUCCAGAAAGUGCCAGUGGAAGGGCUGGCUGACUCCUGUGUCCUCUACGUGAGAAUAGACAACUGACUAAGCUAUGUCUCUUUUUGCUUUAAGUUCUAGAAAGUUCAAGUUCAGAUUUAAAACACCCAGGAAAGACUUGAUUUGCUCUUAAGGCUUCCACACUUGGGUUCUCGGUUUUUUGUUCCUGAUGGUCCUGGAUAUUUUUUUUUCCUCCAUGUUGCUACAGGCUACAUUUAGUCAUCGGUAGAAUAGGUGUGUGAUAAAUGCAUAAACUUCACAAGAAUUUUAAAAACCCACAAUACUAACAGCAUAUUUCUCCAGAAAGAUCCAGUAAUUAGCUUUUGUAGACUUUUUU